GAUAAAACCCAGGCAAGCUAGGCUCUGGUUAAGUAGUUUCUCUUGAGGGCAGACCUUGUUAAGAACAGAACGCUCAGGUGUAUUUCUAAUUGGUUCCUUUUCCCUUCCUCCUCUUGGAAGCAUGAGCCGAUUUUUCUCUGAUAUUUACUGUGAGAACCUGGUAAAGAUUCAGGAAGUAAAACUCACAAAUUAUGGGGCCUCCUAGAUGACUGGGUUCCCCUGGAGUUUUUCACUCUCAGAGUUGUCCACACUGAGUCUCCAACAAUUCUUCAGUUAUAGUUCAGGUUUCCUUAUGCUGGCACUGGUUCCCAUGGAGGCUGCUGCUCCGGAGAGCAUGCGGCCUUCCUGCGAGGAACACAGUCUGAGGAAACAUACAACUCUCACAUGAUUGUUCAAGUGCAAAUUCUGCGCCUCUUGAUCACAGAUCGUGCCUUAUGUGCAGAGAUCACAUAUUGCUGAUUCAUUAACGUUGAACUCAUGGCCAACAGCACUACAGGCCUGAAUGAAACUUAUCUAAACAGCUAUUUCUUAACUUCAGUCUAUCCUGGUGACCUCCUAAUGGGAGAGUCAAAGGAAAACCAACUCCUUCGUUCUCCUCUUCAGUGUUUACCAAACUGUUCUCCUCAAUGAAAACAUACCGUCCCACUUCUAUCAGCAGAGUUCAAUGAAACAAACAGAACUACUAUUUGUCUCUGUCGGACCCUGGUUUUCAUAUUUGAUGCUGGAGCUCCAAGACUGCAGUGCAGGCAGUUAGGAAAGAAAGACGCAUAAGGACGGAUAGAUGGAUAAAAGGAAGAGCAAAGAUAAACUGGGACUUGUGCAAAAACUGGAACCCACAAGGAUUAACUGGAACCCUUUUCAGUUCUCAUUGCUCCCGAGUGUGAUGAGACUGGUGUCCUGCAUGAGAAGCUGCUGCCCCUCUUCAUGGAGCUAAACACGCAUCUGGCCCAGGAUCCUGAGAAGCUGAAGGAGGCUCCAGGGGAACUUAUAUUAGUUGCAGACCUGCUGCUGCCCCACCUGUACAAGUUCAGCCUGCAGAAAACAACCUGUGUGAGCUACAAAAGUGCCCAAGGACCUUGCUGUAGGCUUCUGCACGUAAAGAUGAGUAGAGCGGCUGCUUUGCUUCUGUGCCCCUAAAUUUUUACAAAGAUAUCUCUUACGGCCCACUCUCUUCACAAACAUACAGGCUAAGAAUAUCCUGGGAAAAGCAGUUCAGCUUAUCUAAGUUACCACAUUACAAAGCCAAUGCAGUCCACCUUUUGUCACUUAGUACCCAUAUAUCUCUCUUUAAACACAAUAAUUUCCAAUAAAAACAGUAAUAAAGUCAUGCUUCCCCUGACACAAUACAACUUUUCCACUGACUUUAAUCACAGGACUUGAGUGUAUUAAGAGAUCUCCCUGGGGGUACACCUGUGUUCCAGACAUGCUAUUGUGAGUCUGCGUUCUGUAGUAGCAACCCACCAUUCACUUAAUUGUCAGAGUCAGUUACCCAGCCAGAGCCGAAAUCUCCUUCUUUGCACAUUGAUUCAUUGCCACGAGGAGCUAAAAGUGGUUAGGUUGGCAUCUCAAAUUCCAGUUCAAUAAAAUAAUUAUUUUGUCAUUGAUAUAAGCAUUUCUCCUUUUGGAUUUAAGACUUCUCAACCAGUAGAACCUAAAGUCACAGGGCAAUGGAAUCUUUUGUUUUCCCUAAUGGAUCACUUGUGGUAAUAGUGAAAGGAAGUACUUCUCAUUUCCACCCUUGGAUUCACAGAUCCAUGAAUCUUGGCCACAGGAGAAGCAUCUCCAUGUAUAGCUGCUGGUUUAGAGCAUAUAUCACAUCCUGGAGAAAACUGCCCCACAUCUACAAGGGUUUACAACCAAAAUACAACCAUAAGUAAGAAUUCAAAAGAUCCUUGUUCUGUUUUAUCAUCCAGCUCUUUCAAGAUAAUGAGGAAUGUGUACAUCCAAUAAAUGUCAUGGACCUGAGCUCAUUGCCAAACUUCGUUGGCUAGGAAAUUAUUUGGUUGGUCAGAAAUGAUGUUGUGUGUUAUACCAACAUGGUGAAUAUGGCAUUCUAUAAGUCCAUGGGGAGUUACUUUGGCAGAAGCAUUGUAGACAGGGAAGGAAAAUCCAUAUCCAGAGUAAAUGUCUACUCCAGUGAAAACAAAGUAUUGCCUCUUCCACCUGUUGAGUUGACUGCUAAUCCCAGGGAAUGGUGCCAUAACAGGGGCUAAGUGUUGGUUUCUGCUGUGGACAUAUUGGCACUCAGCAGUGGCUGUAGCCAGCUGUGCCCUGGUGAGUGGAAAUCCUAUAUUCUGAUCCCAUGUAUAACCUCUAUCACUGCUGCUGUGGUCACUUUGUUCAUGAGGCAAUUUGGCAAUGACAGGAUUGGCUGAGAGCAGGAUGAUUGAUACUCAGAGCAAUGGUCACCUUAUUUUUCUCCAUACCACCUACAACUGCCAGACAUAGGGAAUUUGUUUGUCUGUUUGUCUUUAUUGGCUGUUUCCCCACAUUAGAAUGUGAAGUCCAUUGACAGCAGGGUUUAUUGACUAUUUUGUUCACUGAUGUAUUCCCAGGACAUAAAAAGGUAUUUGAAAUGUAACGUAUAUACUCAAAAAAUAGUUGUCAAGUUAAAAGAAUAAUUAAACUGUAUAAAUAGCUUAUGUAUGACAACUAUUUUUAUUCCUAAUUUAUAGAUAAGAAAGCUGAGAGUCAGAGAUGUUGUUGCUUACCAAAUGCCAUUCAUCUAUCAAGUGGUAGAGCUGGGA
ensembl:lncRNA